rnacentral:rRNA from 1 species
GUCGAGAAUCUUCCGCAAUGCGCGAAAGCGUGACGGAGCGACACCGCGUGAUGGAUGAAGUCCUUCGGGGCGUAAACAUCUUUUAUAAAGGAGGAAAUUUUUGACGUUACUUUAUGAAUAAGGGGCUCCCAAUCUCGUGCCAGCAGGAGCGGUAAUACGAGAGCCUCAAGCGUUAUUCGGAAUCAUUGGGCGUAAAGGGUGCGUAGGUGGUUUGAUUAGUCUCCCGUUAAAACUUCGAGCUUAACUCGAAAAGAGCGGGGGAAACGGUCAAACGAGAGUAUGUGAGAGGUGUGUGGAACUCAUGGUGUAGGGGUGAAAUCCGUUGAUAUCAUAGGGAACACCAAAAGCGAAGGAAGCACACUGGCACAUCACUGACACUGAGGCACGAAACCUAAGGUAGCGAAUGGGAUUAGAAACCCGUGUAGUCC